rnacentral:piRNA from 1 species
AACACCAGCUUGUUGGGAUCUCUGC